GAAAAAGCUGUUAAUAACUCCUUUAGUACAUUAGCAAGAAAAGCUCUGACAAUGAUGGAGAGAGGACAGCAUCUCUGAACAAGAUGAUAAUAAAACAGACACUCUGACCCAGAGCACGUUUAUUUCGCUAUGAGAAAUGUCAAGAAGGAUUGGAAGUUUCUUCAGUGUGCCCAUUAAAACUGAAGGCAUGCCACCCUGUCUCCAGCCGGCCAGGGCUGCCAUUGGCUCCCUGCCUCAUUAUGCAGAUGCCAAACAGCAGGAAAAGGAGGACAGGAAGGAGGGAGGGAAGGAAGGAAAAUAGGAAAACGCAAAACCAUCCAGUAAGCACCAAAACAAUUUGCCUCUGUGGAGCAAAAUAAAUAAUGCAAAGGACCUAUCAGAAUCAAACAGGGCUGUGUGUAAUGCGGAGGGACCAAGAGGCAAGAUGCGUAAGCGGGCGCCGGGCAAGGAUGAACCAGUGACUGUGGUCACACGCUCGUGGAUAUGAGGGGGAACAUCUGUGCAUAUCAGCAGCCUACCCUAUCCCUGCAUGUCCACCAUGCCUUCUUGGGCCAGUCGCACAGUCACAGAGAAAAUGCUUUUGGUCACAAAACAUUGUUUGCCAAAAUCCAUCCUCCAUAAAGAAAUCUAGUUCAAGCACGCCACACCUUCUCUUUCUCCCCUCUCAUGAAAGGACUCCUGCUCUAAGAGGGUCUUUUUGUAAUCUAAAGCACAUCUAUAAAGAACAUGUAUGCAUUCUUCCAAAAAACAGAUACUACGGUAUGUUAUUCAAAUAACUUAAUAAAUCAAUAAUAUUAAUAAUGAUAAAAUAAAGUGUGAGGGGACUUUCAGCUUUUAACAGCAUCUUUAAUGACUGCUCUGCAGCUGCAAAAGAUAAGAGAGCCCGGGCUCUUUUAGAAAGCAGACAAAGAUGAUGCAUACUUGUUAUUCCUUGAGUAACUUUAUUGUUUUGCAGUGAAAUACUUGGGAAACAUGUAACAUCUGCUAAUCUGACAAACAGGAAACAAAAAACAGAGCGCCAUUAUUACCUGAGAAGUUACAAUAGAUCUUCAGCAUGUAGCCUGAAUAAAUCCAGUCCUUUGAGAAACAUUACAUGAAGCUGUGCGUGAUGUGUACACAAUAGAGCUCAGUUUUCAGCGUGAGACUAGAAACAGAUAUGAUUAAAAUCUGAAUGCAAAUUAAAUUUUUAAAAAUUGCGCAAUUGCGGUUUUUGGUGUGUUUAAAUGGCCAUUCAUACUCUAUAUUAUACUAAUUAUCAGGGAUGCACAGAUAUGGAAAUUUUGAGCCUGUAUUGAUACCAAUGUUUAAAAUAAUAAAAUGUCAGGUAAGGGAUACUGAUAUUUUACCAAAAUUUUUUACGUUUAUUGUGUUGUUUUUCCACUUUGUUCCAGGUUCUAGCAUCAGUAAAAUAAAUGACGUGUUUUAAAGUUCUUCAGCUACUCAUUACAGUAGUUUUGAAUUUAUAACCAGGGCAAAAAACUCUACUGAUACACCUGAAUAGUUGUGUAAUAUUGGCCAGUAUAUCAGUGUAUCCUUAAUUACUGAUACACACUUACUUUAGUGUAACAAGGAUCAUUGCUGAUUCUUUUUUUUUUUUUUUUUUUUUUACAAGCGACUAGCUGAUGAUCAGCCCCUGCAUGUUAUUUUAUCAUCUGUAAAAAAUGUUCAUAUUUGUCAUUUAGUUUACUGUUUUUUGUGCAUAAAGUUUUCUGCUGUAUCCAAACCCAUGCCACAAUGUAAGCAGAUGGAUUGUUUUUGCUUGUGUGCAUGUACUCAC
ensembl:lncRNA